rnacentral:rRNA from 1 species
UACGGGGGGGGCAAGCGUUGUUCGGAAUUACUGGGCGUAAAGGGUUCGUAGGUGGCUUGUUAAGUCAGACGUGAAAUCCCUCAGCUUAACUGGGGAACUGCGUCUGAUACUGGAUGGCUUGAGUUUGGGAGAGGGAUGCGGAAUUCCAGGUGUAGCGGUGAAAUGCGUAGAUAUUGGAAGGAACAUCAGUGGCGAAAGCGGCUUCCUGGACCAGUACCGACGUUCAGGCACGAAAGCGUGGGGAGCAAACAGG